rnacentral:lncRNA from 1 species
CAGCAACUGCUCACCAGGAGCAGAACUGAGCAGCUUCUGUGAGUGAAGUGAAGAGCUGUUUCUCAGAAGGGGAAACCCUGGGAGAGACUAGGGUUCAAAUACCUCUUUACUCAGCUAUGCAGCUCACUGGGUGACCUGGGGCCAGGUUGUGGGGAUUAAAUAAGAAGGUGAGAACUAUGUAUGUCAUUUUGAGCUCCUUGGAGUAAAUAAUGGGAUAUCAAUUCAGACGCCCUCAGAAGGUGGUGGACUCUCCUUCUUUGGAGGUUUUUUAUACACAGAGGUUGGGUGGCCAUUUGCAAGGAAUUCUUGAAUUGGAUUCCUGUUUUGCAGCCAAUUGGACUAGAUGCACCUUGGGGUUCUUUCCAAAUCUACAAUUUUGUUCUAUGAUUUUGUAUUGAUUAGAUAGGAAACCGCUUCGAGACUACUCUGAGAUGCCAGGUUGGAUAUAAGCGCCAUAAAUAAGAAAAGAGAGAGACACGUUGGCCUGUGAAUGACCCCAGGCAGCUGGUAGAAGGACUCUGACCUAGAGGCAGAGGGAACCUGGAAGCUUCAGGACGAAGUUGCUGUUAAGCACUGGACGCAUUGCCGACUGGAAAAGGUGAGUGGCCGUCUGCAAGAUCUUACAGAGCUCAUGAGAUCUGGUGAGAUUUCAGGAAGAUCUCACAAGAUCUUGCUAGCCUUGCUGGCAGGGUUGAGUAAGGUUGGCACAGUGCAAACACACCGGUGCAGCCAAACUUGUGCUUAUGCCAGUGUGUUCACACCACAUCAACCUCACCUCCAUCCUCCUCUUCCUUCUUGUAAGCCAUAGUGAUGUCAGCGUUGGGAGAUAUGCUAAGUGCCUCCCCCCACCAAAUGCUACUGGUUGUGGGUGGCCUAUGAUUUUAAAAGAUUCCACCUUCUGCCCAAGUAGUGUUUUCAAGUGGCCAUUGUAGCUGUAUACUGCCUAUAAUCCUGAUCUCAAAGGUUGUCCAGAACAGGUCAGGCAGUCUUGUUGACUCUUUCCAGACCAGCUGGCAGCAAGAUUCUGCUGCCAAAAUAGCUGCUCCUUCAUGGCCUGGGCAGGCCAUCGGCCUGUUAUAUACCUGUUGGGAUUGACAAGGCAUAUGACCCUCACCUGAAUCUCAUUUAACACAAUAAAACAUCAAACAUUUAAAACUUCCCUAAACAGGGCUGCCUUCAGAUGUCUUCUAAAAGUCAGGUAGUUGUUUAUUUCCUUGACAUCUGAUGGGAGGGCAUUCCACAGGGCGGGUGCCACUACCGUGAAGGCCCUCUGCCUGCUCCACUGUAACCUCACUUCUUGCAGUGAAGGAACCGCCAAAAGGCCCUUGGAGUUGGACCUCAGUGUCCAGGCUGAAUGAUGGGGCUGGAGACACUCCUUCAGGUAUACUGGGUCUAGGCCAGAACAGCAAGCAAUGAUAAUUAAAAGUGGGGUCCGCAACAAAUGUUAUGGUAUGAAGUACUCCUGUUCAGAUUCCAAAAUGCUAGCCCAAUCAUGUCCUUAUCCAGGAUGCUCCAUUCCAUUCCACCCCCUGUCCCAAACCAGUCAGCCAGUAUUCUGAGCAUGCUCAGUACUCAUUGGGUUGUUUUGGGGUUCCACCUCCCACUUGAUUUAUAUAAGCUUCCAUGAAUCUUGGUGUUCCCCCACUAAUCUGUCAGUAUCUGGUGUGAAAGGAGAGGACUAUGGAUGGUUACAAGCUUUGAUGGCUAUGCUCUGCCUCCACAGUCAGAGACCACAAUGUUUCUGAAUAUCAGUUGCUGGUUGCUCUUGUCCUUGUGUCCCGCUUGCUGGUUUCCCGUUGGGAAUCUGGUUGGCCACUGGGAGAACAGGAUGCUGGACUAGAUGGGGUAUUGGCCUGCUCCAAGAGAGGUCUUCUGAAAUUCUGAUAUGUGCUCACUCUGCUGGGCUUGGCUACAUAAAAAUACUGAGACUCGGGAAAUGUUUUUGCUGUUAGUGCAUAGGAUUCAAGCCCCCAGGUCCAGAGGGAGUGCUGCAGGGGAGGAAUGGGAGAUAAGGCCUGGCGGGGAGAGAGCAAAUGGGGGGGUGCAGCUCCUCUGAGUGAGGGGGGGGGAUUAGGCAGAGGUUGCACUUGCUCCAUCCCAUCUUUUGCAACCUCUGCUUGCUCUAGCUGGCUUAAUUCCCCCGCCGGUGUCCGAGUAGGCGUCAGAUUAGUUGCAAUGCAUAGCAGAAGCCUCAGUUCUCAACUGGCAAUCAACCCAGGCUCUGUCUCUUCUUUUCCUGGAGCAGAGGUCGCUCAAGGGUGCCUGCCAUGACCCCAGAGCCCAGCAGCAAUCAAGACUCAAGAGCCGGCGGCUGCAGACUUUCCAGCUGGAUGCAGGGUUCUGCCAGCCAUGAAGCAACCCAACCUGUGGCUGAGGAAUAUGAACCUCACAGGAAAACUUCCUGAAUCUCUAGGGCAGGAGCCUGGAUGCACAAGAGCAGGAGCCUCAAAAGGUUCAGUCAGGGAGUGGAUCACCUGGAGCUGUCAGUGGUCCUGAAACUCAGAACACAACAUCACCACCAGCAUUCAGUGUAGCUUAGCUCAUCUCUAUGAGCUGCCUGCCCAGUUCCUUGCAACAGUCUUGUCUUGGAGCUCCAUUUAAUCCUCUUGCGCUGUCUGCUCAGUCUUGAUUGGCAGAAGUUCUUGGGGUGGUGGUGCUCAGGCAGAGAGAGGGGUCUUCUUCUCUUCCUGAUAUCCUUUCAACUGGAUGCACUAACCACUGAGCUACGGCCCUCCUCUAAACAAUCUCAUGGUGACAUGCAGCAAGACUGAGAGUUGUGCAGCUCUUCUGAUGUUUGUGGAUUCCCAUCACACCAGCCAGCAUGGCCAAUGCUUGGACAAAUGAGUGAGCUAAUCAUGCUGUAGAGAGAGGGCAGAAUUAUGUAUCCUCGCCCAAGAGAGGAUGGUUGAGGAAAUGAGGAUGAUGCCUCAUACCAAGUCAGACCAUUGGGUCCAUCUAACUCAGCAUUGUCUAUCCUAGCUGUAAUUGUCCACACAGGACAUUCCCAGUCCCAGUGCUUUUUUCUGGGGGGACGCAUACCCCUAAACAUUUUGUGAAUCUAAGUUUGGCCUCAUUGAGGGGCAGUAUUUCAAUAUGAGUAGGAAAAUGAGAUUACCCCUAAACAUUUUUUUUAGAAAAAAGGCACUGCCCAGUCCUACCCAGAGAUGCCAUUGAUGAUUGAACCUGGGACCUUUUGCAUGGAAAGCUGGUGCUCUGUGACUUAGCUAUGGCCCCUUUGCAUGUUGAGCUGAGACAAAGACAGCAGCCUCCACCCUGGAAAUGAACAGACAGUGUUGGGAAAGGGAGGGUCCCUUUAGCUUUAAUACGACCAAAUUGGCAAUCUCUUUCCUCUGUGCUAUUUCGAGAGAGAGCUGAUCCAUUGGGAAGGAGGGAACAGCGUCCCCAACUGUAUAAGAAAGCCUUCCAUCAGCUUGUAGCACUCACUCGAUGAGAGCCGGCCUUACCCAUAAUGCGUUGCUUGUGUUCCAAUUUCAGUGUGUGAGACAGAGCUACAGAUGCAUCUUGAGAUAAGAUGGGUAUGGUUUCCUUUGUUUUUUAAUCAAUGCCCAUUUCAUUUUCUCCCAUU